rnacentral:rRNA from 1 species
UGGGGAAUAUUGGACAAUGGGCGAAAGCCUGAUCCAGCCAUGCCGCGUGUGUGAAGAAGGUCUUCGGAUUGUAAAGCACUUUAAGUUGGGAGGAAGGGCAUUAACCUAAUACGUUAGUGUUUUGACGUUACCGACAGAAUAAGCACCGGCUAACUCUGUGCCAGCAGCCGCGGUAAUACAGAGGGUGCAAGCGGUAAGCGGAAUUACUGGGCGUAAAGCGCGCGUAGGUGGUUUGUUAAGUUGGAUGUGAAAUCCCCGGGCUCAACCUGGGAACUGCAUUCAAAACUGACUGACUAGAGUAUGGUAGAGGGUGGUGGAAUUUCCUGUGUAGCGGUGAAAUGCGUAGAUAUAGGAAGGAACACCAGUGGCGAAGGCGACCACCUGGACUAAUACUGACACUGAGGUGCGAAAGCGUGGGGAGCAAACA